rnacentral:rRNA from 1 species
UUGACCUCAAAUCAGGUAGGACUACCCGCUGAACUUAAGCAUAUCAAUAAGCGGAGGAAAAGAAACUAACAAGGAUUCCCCUAGUAACUGCGAGUGAAGCGGGAAAAGCUCAAAUUUAAAAUCUGGCAGUCUUUGGCUGUCCGAGUUGUAAUCUAGAGAAGUGUUGCCCACGCUGGACC